rnacentral:misc_RNA from 1 species
GUCUGGAACUUGAAGCUCAUUACCCCGGGCAUAUGUUUCCUGAAUUGCAGCAUCUUUCCAUAAAGUUUCAAUCUCCUGUGCAAGAUCUCUGGUGAGACAUGGAUAAUUUAACCUGCCUCCAAUUUCUGACAACUUCUCUCCAAUGUCCUUAUUUUCACUGGAUAUGACAUACUUUGAGGGAUCUGUUUCAUUUUGAGCCAAUUCCUUUGAUCCAU